GCGGUCGGUGGUGCAACGGUUUAGCACAUGCACCCAAAAAGAGUAGGAUCUGGGUUCGAAUCCCGACUGACGCA